AGCUCCCCCUCUAGUGUUCACUGCUCAUCAAAUUAUUCCUCCAACAAAUAAGACAGAGAACUGCCUGUUUUUUGAUUCCCUAUCGAAGGACGGAGCUUGAGCCAACAUUUAUAACUGUUUAAUGACACAAAGAGGAAAAGACCAGUCUAUGGCAAAUUCCACUGGGACAUCCCAUUCGCCACAAGGACUGAAAUGACCCACUCCGAAAGCAGCAUGUGAAGCUUUGAGCCUUUCUUCCCCCCGCCACUCUCCAGAGAACAUUAAAUCGUACUUUUCAUUCCCCUCACCAUAGGGGGAACCCCCUUAAUGAUGACAGAGAAAGAAAAAUUCCAUCACACUGUCCUAUGAUACCAUUCUGCUGUCAAGCAGGCGUUUCCCUGGUCAGAGAAUCAAACAUGGCUUCCAGCAGGUGGAUGUUGCUGAAGGUCACAGACAGCAAAAUGCAGAGGUUACACAUGGAGGAAGCACAGGUUCCCACAGCAAAUUAAGUCAUCUGUGAAGCCGCCUCAUUUCCCAGCGACUAAAUUUAUGACUGCUUUUAAGGGUCAUCAUCACUUGCAUGCGCAUACACUUUAUUGAAAGUAUUUGAGAUUUUGGAAGAGCAGGAUCAUCCCAAUUAAAAAUGCAUACAUGAGCUACACUUUUAAAGUAAAUGAAGAAAUUUAAAAA